UACGAAGGGGGCUAGCGUUGUUCGGAUUUACUGGGCGUAAAGCGCACGUAGGCGGAUCGUUAAGUCAGGGGUGAAAUCCUGGAGCUCAACUCCAGAACUGCCUUUGAUACUGGCGAUCUUGAGUCCGGAAGAGGUGAGUGGAACUCCUAGUGUAGAGGUGGAAUUCGUAGAUAUCAGGAGGAACACCUAUUGCGAAGGCAGCUCGCUGGGACGUAACUGACGCUGAGACGCGAAAGCGUGGGGAGCAAACAGG
rnacentral:rRNA from 1 species